rnacentral:rRNA from 1 species
UACGUAGGGACCAAGCGUUGUUCGGAUUUACUGGGCGUAAAGGGCGCGUAGGCGGCUUGUCAAGUCACUUGUGAAAUCUCUGGGCUUAACCCAGAACGGCCAAGUGAAACUGACAUGCUAGAGUGCAGAAGGGGCAACUGGAAUUCUCGGUGUAGCGGUGAAAUGCGUAGAUAUCGAGAGGAACACCUGCGGCGAAGGCGGGUUGCUGGGCUGACACUGACGCUGAUGCGCGAAAGCCAGGGGAGCGAACGGG